AUUGAACGCUGGCGGCAUGCCUAACACAUGCAAGUCGAACGGCAGCACGGGUGCUUGCACCUGGUGGCGAGUGGCGAACGGGGGAGUAAUACAUCGGAACAUGUCCUGUAGUGGGGGAUAGUCCGGCGAAAGCCGGAUUACUACCGCAUACGAAUUACUGGUGAAAGCGGGGGCCCUUCGGGCCUCGCGCCAUAGGGUUGGCCGAUGGCUGAUUAGCGAGUUGGUGGGGUAAAGGCCUACCAAGGCGACGAUCAGUAGCUGGUCUGAGAGGACGACCAGCCACACUGGGACUGAGACACGGCCCAGACUCCUACGGGAGGCAGCAGUGGGGAAUUUUGGACAAUGGGCGAAAGCCUGAUCCAGCAAUGCCGCGUGUGUGAAGAAGGCCUUCGGGUUGUAAAGCACUUUUGUCCGGAAAGAAAUCCUUGGCCCUAAUACGGGCGGGGGAUGACGGUACCGGAAGAAUAAGCACCGGCUAACUACGUG
rnacentral:rRNA from 1 species